CCCUUAGAUGUUCGGGGCCGCACGCGCGCUACACUGAAGGACUCAGCGUGUCUCUCCCCCUAUCCCGAAAGGGAUGGGCAACCCGUUGAACCUCCUUCGUGCUAGGGAUUGGGGUUUGCAAUUAUCCCCCAUGAACGAGGAAUUCCCAGUAAGCGCGAGUCAUCAGCUCGCGUUGAUUACGUCCCUGCCCUUUGUACACACCGCCCGUCGCUACUACCGAUUGGAUGGUUUAGUGAUACCCUCGGAUCGGUCCCGACUCGGGGUGGGCUUCUGCCCCGGUCGUGGUUUCGCCGAGAAGACGGCCAAACUUGACUAUCUAGAGGAAGUAAAAGUCGUAACA
rnacentral:rRNA from 1 species